AUUUCAAUUAAUGGCUUAUGAAUAAAAGCCAUGGUUGAAAUUACAUUUAAGGCAUCAUCCGACUUUCAAAAAUGAAAGAAGUGUUUAAAAUUCAUUUAGGGUCACUUAGGCAUCACAUUGAGGGACUAGGGUCAUCGAAACUCAAUAAAAUACCUUAUGAAUAAAAAUUCAUAUUCGAAAUAGCAUUUAAGGCACAUCCAACUUUCAUAGUAUGAAUAAAGAGUUAAUAAUGCAAUUUUAUUCAGGGUCACCGAGGCAUUCUCACAACAAUAAUAUAUUCCAUAUUAUCAAAAAAUAUUUCAUCACUUGUAGGGACUAAAGGUCAUCAAAUUUCAAUUAAUGCCUUAUGAAUAAAAGCCAUGGUUGAAAUUAGGUCAUCGAAACUCAAUAAAAUACCUUAUGAAUAAAAAUUCAUAUUCGAAAUAGCAUUUAAGGCACAUCCAACUUUCAUAGUAUGAAUAAAGAGUUAAUAAUGCAAUUUUAUUCAGGGUCACUAAGGCAUUCUCACAACAAUAAUAUAUUCCAUAUUAUCAAAAAAUAUUUCAUCUCUUGUAGGGACUAAAGGUCAUCAAAUUUCAAUUAAUGCCUUAUGAAUAAAAGCCAUGGUUGAAAUUAGGUCAUCGAAACUCAAUAAAAUACCUUAUGAAUAAAAAUUCAUAUUCGAAAUAGCAUUUAAGGCACAUCCAACUUUCAUAGUAUGAAUAAAGAGUUAAUAAUGCAAUUUUAUUCAGGGUCACUAAGGCAUUCUCACAACAAUAAUAUAUUCCAUAUUAUCAAAAAAUAUUUCAUCUCUUGUAGGGACUAAAGGUCAUCAAAUUUCAAUUAAUGCCUUAUGAAUAAAAGCCAUGGUUGAAAUUACAUUUAAGGCAUCAUCCAACUUUCAAAAAUGAAAGAAGUGUUCAAAAUUCAUUUGGGGUCUCUUAGGCAUCACAUUGAGGGACUAGGGUCAUCGAAACUCAAUAAAUACCUUAUGAAUAAAAAUUCAUAUUCCAAAUAGCAUUUAAGGCACAUCCAACUUUCAUAGUAUGAAUAAAGAGUUAAUAAUGCAAUUUUAUUCAGGGUCACCGAGGCAUUCUCACAACAAUAAUAUAUUUCAUAUUAUCAAAAAAUAUUUCAUCUCUUGUAGGGACUAAAGGUCAUCAAAUUUCAAUUAAUGCCUUAUGAAUAAAAGCCAUGGGUGAAAUUACAUUUAAGGCAACAUCCAACUUUCAAAGAUGAAAGAAGUGUUUAAAAUUCAUUUAGGGUCACUUAGGCAUCACAUUGAGGGACUAGGGUCAUCGAAACUCAAUAAAUACCUUAUGAAUAAAAAUUCAUAUUCGAAAUAGCAUUUAAGGCACAUCCAACUUUCAUAGUAUGAAUAAAGAGUUAAUAAUGCAAUUUUAUUCAGGGUCACCGAGGCAUUCUCACAACAAUAAUAUAUUCCAUAUUAUCAAAAAAUAUUUCAUCUCUUGUAGGGACUAAAGGUCAUCAAAUUUCAAUUAAUGCCUUAUGAAUAAAAGUCAUGGUUGAAAUUAUAUUUAAGGCAUCAACCAACCUUCAAAGAUGAAAGAAGUGUUUAAAAUUCAUUUAGGGUCACUUAGGCAUCACAUUGAGGGACUAGGGUCAUCGAAACUCGAUAAAUACCUUAUGAAUAAAAAUUCAUAUUCGAAAUUGCAUUUAAGGCACAUCCAACUUUCAUAGCAUGAAUAAAGAGUAAAUAAUUCAAUUUCAUUCACGGUCACCGAGGCAUUCUCACAACAAUAAUAUAUUCCAUAUUAUUAAAAAAUAUUUCAUCUCUUGUAGGGACUAAAGGUCAUCAAAUUUCAAUUAAUGCCUUAUGAAUAAAAGUCAUGGUUGAAAUUAUAUAUAAGGCAUCAUCCAACCUUCAAAAAUGAAAGAAGUGUUCAAAAUUCAUUUAGGGUCACUUAGGCAUCACAUUGAGGGACUAGGGUCAUCGAAACUCAAUAAAAUACCUUAUGAAUAAAAAUUCAUAUUCGAAAUAGCAUUUAAGGGACAUCCAACUUUCAUAGUAUAAAUAAUGAGUUAAUAAUGCAAUUUCAUUCAGGGUCACCGAGGCAUUCUCACAACAAUAAUAUAUUCCAUAUUAUCAAAAAAUAUUUCAUCUCUUAUAGGGACUAAAGGUCAUCAAAUUUCAAUUAAUGCCUUAUAAAUAAAACCCAUGGUUGAAAUUACAUUUAAGGCAUCAUCCAACUUUCAAAAAUGAAAGAAGUGUUCAAAAUUCAUUUAGAGUCACUUAGGCAUCACACUGAGGGACUAGGGUCAUCGAAACUCAAUAAAAUACCUUAUGAAUAAAAAUUCAUAUUCGAAAUAGCAUUUAAGGGACAUCCAACUUUCAUAGUAUAAAUAAUGAGUUAAUAAUGCAAUUUCAUUCAGGGUCACCGAGGCAUUCUCACAACAAUAAUAUAUUCCAUAUUAUCAAAAAAUAUUUCAUCUCUUAUAGGGACUAAAGGUCAUCAAAUUUCAAUUAAUGCCUUAUAAAUAAAACCCAUGGUUGAAAUUACAUUUAAGGCAUCAUCCAACUUUCAAAAAUGAAAGAAGUGUUCAAAAUUCAUUUAGAGUCACUUAGGCAUCACACUGAGGGACUAGGGUCAUCGAAACUCAAUAAAAUACCUUAUGAAUAAAAAUUCAUAUUCGAAAUAGCAUUUAAGGCAAAUCCAACUUUCAUAGUAUAAAUAAAGAGUUAAUAAUGCAAUUUCAUUCAGGGUCACCGAGACAUUCUCACAAUAAUAAUAUAUUUCAUAUUAUCAAAAAAUAUUUCAUCUCUUGUAGGGACUAAGGUCAUCAAAUUUCAAUUAAUGCCUUAUGAAUAAAAGUCAUGGUUGAAAUUCCAUUUAAGGCAUCAUCCAACUUUCAAAUAUGAAAGAAGUGUUCAAAAUUCAUUUAGGGUCACUUAGUCAUCACAUUGAGGGACUAGGGUCAUCGAAACUCCAUAAAUACCUUAUGAAUAAAAAUUCAUAUUCGAAAUAGCAUUUAAGGCACAUCCAACUUUCAUAGUAUGAAUAACGAGUUAAUAAAGCAAUUUCAUUUAGGGUCACCGAGGCAUUCUUACAAUAAUAAUAUCUUUCAUAUUAUCAAAAAAAUACUCCAUCUCUUGUAGGGACUAGGGUCAUCAAAUUUCAAUUGAUGUCUUAUGAAUAAAAAACCAUGGUUGAAAUUACAUUUUAAGGCAUUAUCCAACUUUCAAUUAUGAAUAAAGCAUUCAAAACUCAAUUUCAUUUAGAGUCACCUAGGCAUCCCAGCUCUCACAAAAAGACUACAUGAAUCAAUUCUCACAAAAAGAUUACAUGAAUCAGCUAUCAUAAAAAGAUUUAAUUUCAUGUGGGGACUAGUGUCAUCAAAGCUCAUGAAGGGACUAGGGUAAUCGAAAUUCAAUUGAUAUUGAACAAUUAAAAAUUAAUGAUUGAAAUUGCCUUUAAGAAUGGUUAUCAGGCAUUCCAACAGUAACAAAAAAUCAUUUUAAUCAGAUGAUGAAAAAUCAUGAAUAAAGAGUUGAUAUAAAGCACAGCAUCAUAACUUAGCAAAGCAUAAAAAUGAAGGGCCCAAGAGCAAGAAAACCGAAAGAGACAACAAAAAUUGGUUCAAUAAAAAAGGCAAUAAUAACCUUUAACAUGAUCAAUUUGAACAAAAGGAUGAUUUCUCAUGCAAGCAGAAACAGAGUUGAUUUUUAUAACCCAUAUGAAAAGAUUAAUUGUUCCAGAGUUGAUUUUUAUAACCCAUAUGAAAAGAUUAAUUGUUCCAGAGUUGAUUUUUAUAACCCAUAUGAAAAGAUUAAUUGUUCCAGAGUUGAUUUUUAUAACCCAUAUGAAAAGAUUAAUUGUUCCAGAGUUGAUUUUUAUAACCCAUAUGACUUGGAAUGAAAGUCCUUGUCAAAACAAAAACCAUCUUUUGAUUUCAGUCAAAAAAUCAAGAAAGAGAAAUAAUCUCAAAGAGGCAACUUACGGUUCAAAUCAACUUUUUCUAAGGUUUGUACACACCAAUUAUAUUCUCUGGAAAGUUUCGCUUUCACCUUCCAGAAUCUUCCUCGCAUCAUACACCGAUAUCCUAUUUCUGGCACACGUCAUCGGGGACAGGAACGCCAGGAUGUUGGUCGUGCCGGAGUGGUACACGACUCGCCAGGGAAAAAACCGCCGUAGUUUAGCCGGACAAGGCUUAUAAUUUGACAAGAUAGAUGGUUCUUGAAUAAUCAAGAGUGAGAAA